rnacentral:rRNA from 1 species
AUGGCGAGCUGGUGUCCACCUCCUCCUUCAUGCUCCCUCCUCCUCCACUUGCUUGUCGUCGCGGCACUGCUGGUCCCGUCGCAUGGGUCGUCCUCGAAUGCCACCGACACGCUCACGGCGAGCCGGCCGCUCUCCGGGGACCAGAAGUUGAUCUCGCAGCGCGGCAAAUUCGCGCUCGGGUUCUUCCAGCCUCAAGCUGAAGGAUCUGGAGGCAGGUGGUACGUGGGUAUUUGGUACAACAAAAUCCCGGUGCAAACUAUUGUAUGGGUGGCUAACAGGGAGAAACCAAUAUCUGAUCCAGCCUCAUCAAGCCUGACGAUCUCUGACGACGGAAAUAUUGUCAUCCGUCAGUCCAAAUCGAUUGUCUGGUCAAGCAAUUCAACCAAUGAAGCUUUUAACUCCACCAUUGCUGUGCUCCUUGACACAGGGAACCUAGUGGUUAGACACAAGUCCAACAGCUCCCAUGUGGUCUGGCAAAGUUUCGAUGAUAUGACAGACACAUGGCUCCCAGGUAAUAAGCUCAGUUUUAACAAGGUGACUGGUGUGUCCAACCGGAUCAUUUCUUGGAAAAACAAUGGUGAUCCAGCACCAGGAAUGUUCACCGUGGAGAUGGAUCCAAAUGGCUCAAAGCAAUACAUCAUCCUAUGGAAUAGCUCCAUGGUGUACUGGGACACUGGCAACUGGACCGGCAGCUCAUUUCCUAACAUGCCGGAGUUGUCGCGUGCAAAUACCUAUCCCAACACCCCAUACACUUAUCAGUUUGUUGACAAUGACCAGGAAACAUACUUCACCUACAAUGUCACCGAUGACAGAAUAUUAUCAAGGCAUGUCAUUGGAGUGUCGGGUCAAACCCAGUCUUCUGUAUGGGUGGAGGCUGCACAGGCCUGGGUGGUCUAUUUUUCACAACCAAAGGCCAACUGCGAUGUGUAUGGAUUUUGUGGAGCUUACAGCAAGUGCAGUGGGAGUGCCCUGUCAUCAUCGUGUAGCUGCCUCAAGGGCUUCAGUGAGCGUGAUCCAAAUAGUUGGAAUCUGGGCGACCCAACUGCAGGCUGUAGGAGAAAUGUCCAGUUGCAGUGUAGCAGCAAGGGCUUGGAGAAAGAAAAGCAGGAUAGGUUCUAUACAAUCAACAGUGUGAAACUGCCUGACAAAGCACAAACUAGUAUUGAGGGUACCAGCAAUCAGAACUGCCAGUCAGCUUGCCUGAACAAUUGUUCAUGUACCGCUUACUCUUAUAAUGGCACAUGCUCACUUUGGUAUGCGGAACUUCUGAAUUUGCAAGACACCAUUGACGGUUCUCUGGAUAACAUUCAUAUAAGGGUAGCAGCCUCUGAGUUACCAGAUUCAAGAACCAAGAAACGAUGGAUUGCCAGAGUUGCCGUUGGUGGAGUUGCUGCUCUAGGUUGUGCAGUGAUCGCUUUAUAUUUCCUUCUCCGCAGGAGGAGAAGAAUUAACAGUAUGAAUCUUGCUAAGGGAUCGCUGAUCAGCUUUAAAUACAAUGAUCUGCAGUUCCUUACCAAAAAUUUCUCUGAGAUAUUGGGUGUGGGAGCUUUUGGCUCUGUGUUCAAAGGAGUUCUACCAGACACAACUAUAAUGGCGGUGAAGAAGCUAGAGGGCCUCCGCCAAGGGGAGAAGCAAUUUCGGGCUGAAGUGAGUACUAUUGGAACAAUUCAGCAUGUCAACUUGAUUCAACUACUUGGUUUUUGUUCCGAAGGAACGAAGCGGUUGCUUGUCUAUGAGUAUAUGCCCAAUGGUUCAUUGGAUCAUCAUCUGUUUAGGAGUAACCGUGCGCCUUUAAGUUGGAGCACAAGAUACCAAAUCGCGACCGGAGUUGCACGGGGAUUAACUUACCUGCACGAGGAGUGCAGGGAUUGCAUCAUACAUUGUGAUAUCAAGCCAGAAAAUAUAUUAUUGGGUGAAUAUCUAAUCCCAAAGGUGGCAGACUUUGGAUUGGCAAAGCUCCUUGGCCGAGAUUUUAGUAGGGUUUUAACAUCAAUGAGAGGCACCAUAGGGUAUCUUGCACCUGAGUGGAUAAGUGGUGAGGCUAUCACAACAAAGGCUGAUGUUUUCAGCUACGGAAUGAUGCUUUUUGAGAUUAUAUCUGGCAAGAGGAACAAUAUGCAUACUGGCACAAGUGCAAAUACAUUUUUUCCUAUGUUGGUAGUGAGGAAGCUAGUGGAAGGAGAUGUGCAAACAUUGAUUGAUUCUGAACUUGUCAAUGAUGUGGACCUAAGGGAGCUUGAAAGGGCAUGCAUGGUUGCCUGUUGGUGUGUUCAAGACAGUGAGAGCUCCAGGCCAACGAUGGGGGAAAUUGUUCAGAUCCUAGAAGGGUUGGUUAAUGUUGAAAUGCCGCCUGUUCCAAGGUAUCUUCAAGUUCUUGCUGAAGGUGUAAAACCGUCUGAAGUUUCUAAUCUUUCAUGA